rnacentral:rRNA from 1 species
AUUGAACGCUAGCGGGAUGCUUUACACAUGCAAGUCGAACGAGUGGCGGACGGGUGAGUAAUAUAUCGGAACGUGCCAAGUAGCGGGGGAUAACUACUCGAAAGAGUGGCUAAUACCGCCUACUAUUGGAGAGGACGAUAUAGGAUUAGCUAGUGGGUGGGGUAAAGGCUCACCAAGGCAACGAUCCGGAGCUGGUUUGAUAGGACGACCAGUCACACUGGGACCGAGACACGGCCCAGACUCCUACGUGAGGCAGCAGUGGGGAAUUUUGGACAAUGGGGGAAACCCUGAGCCAGCCAUCCCGCGUGUAUGAGAAGGCCUUCGGGUUGUAAAGUACUUUUGGCAGAGAAGCGGUAUCUGCAGAAUAAGCACCGGCUAACUACGUGCCAGCCGCCGCGGUAAUUC